CCUAUCUUAUUUCCCAAAGCUACACCUUGAACACAUAUAGUAAGUUAGUAACCAAUCAACCAUGGCAAAGGCCCAGGCAAUGGGCGCUCUCCUGACCGUCCUGGUGGUCCUCGCCACGUCGGCCGAGAUGGCGCACGGCAUCUGCAACCUGUCGAGCACCGGCAUCCGGGCAUGCCAGCCGGCGGCGGCCAUCCGCAACCCGACCGACCAGCCGUCGUCGGAGUGCUGCGCCGCCCUGGCGGGGGCCGACCUGCCGUGCCUGUGCCGGUACAAGAACGCCGCCGGCGUGUGGGUGAGGUUCUACAGGAUCGACAUCAACCGCGCCAUGGCGUUGCCGGGCAAGUGUGGUCUUGCGAUGCCAGCCAACUGCUGAUGAUCACCGGUGCCUUGCUGCGUAUACAGCUACUACUAUGUAGCUACGUGAUCGAAUAAAUGAUGCCCGUAAAAGACCUGUGUGUCAGAACUGUAUUAUGUAUUGUAUGUCCCGUCCACUGCAAAGUUGGACGCAUGAGUAUGAAUGGAGGAUCUUUCAUGACUCUCACAGAGCUUUAUUUGUGUUUGUCGAGCAAUCCUUAAUGAAAAUCAUUUGUUUUCAAGUCGUGGGAGUAGAGUCUUCAAAUGUAUACUGGAUAAAUACCAGAUGCACUAUUUUUAGAUAUUUUAGCGAUGGGAGAAAGGAGAGAGAAAACUGCAUUGUGGAAGAGAAGAAAAAUCUUUGCAGCAUGUACUUUUUCCAGACAUGGUUCAUAGUAGUAUAUUCAGAAAAAAUCACAUGAGUGAAAAGUUUAUGAAAAUGUCACUGACAAGCCCUUGAUCAUGGCUAUCAUCCUACUAGGAAAAUUAAAGCUUCUAUCUUCACAUGAGAGUAAGAAAUUGGAUGCUUAAUUAACUAGGAAUAAUCUGUAUUCCUGAAAUUGCUUUGGAGACAUGAUUUUGGGGCAAGUUUUUGAAGUACAAGUGAAUUGCUCACAUUUUCCUAUCAGUUUAAACUUUUAGGAUGGAUUGGUUGGUGCAUAUAACUCAAUGAAGCUAGUGGAGACCGUUGGCACAGUCUUUGUACGGAGGCAAACACUCGCUCUUGGAUUACAGCGCCAUAAAGCAACUCAUUAAAUAUUAUUGUGCUUGGUAGCUUUUCUUUUGUCUGCGAUAGCUAGAGUCCAGAAAUAACAAGCCGAAUAGAACAAUGAACUGUGUAUAUAGAAUUGUAUCGUGAAUUCCUUCGAUUUAUAUCAGCGCAUCCAGCUAGUGUUGGCUGGCAAUUGGCUGAAAAAAUGGUCAAUACAAAGACGAUAUAUGUGUUUUAACAAAAAAAUUUAGUGCCUGUCGACAUCUGCAUCAAACUUUUGGAGCCCUGGUCCUCAAAUGCUAUCAUGGAUGACCAGUAAGACCUGAGCUAUCGAUCAUGCAUGGACACUCGAUCAUGGGUGCUUGCCCAACCCAAUAGGCAAUAGCACUACGGAAGUCGGCACAGAAUUACAUUAAGAUAGCCAGACAUUGACACUAGAACAUAUUUAGGCAGUAUAAUUUUCUUAUGCAAUUCUCAUCAAGGCCUGUUAAGUUUUUGCAGAACACCACGAGAACUUAAACAUGUAUCAACGCCACUGUACUUUUAAAACAAUUAAUUCAUUUGACCUACUUAGAAUAAUUAACUAAAGUACACGACUGAAAGAAAAGAUGCAAUUGGUCUAUAUAUAUGUUUUUAAUGGAUUUUUUAUGGAGCAGUGGUGUAUGGAUGAAAACUACCAUGGGCUGAAUAGAAGAUUUGGUCAAAACAUUUAGCUUGUAUUCUCAGUUAACAAUUAUCUAGUUAUAAAUUUGAAUAUCUGAUUAAUUCUUGUAGUCUAUUGGAGCUUCUAUCUUAUAGAUAACUAGAUUCUAUAUAUAACACAAAAACUAUAGUACCAUACGGUACCCUUAAAAAUACUCCUACAUAAGAGAGAAUAACCAAACACUGACACUAAAUCGUCUCUUGGCAAAACCUUUUUAGAAGCACUUGUCCUCUCUCAAGCCAGUCCUGGCUAGUUUGCCAAUUAAGCUAGAUAGCACUCUUGACAAGUUGAUUGUUUUGUCGUCGUUUUAUUUAGAUUUCUUCAACGCUUUGCUUUCGAAGUCGUUCAAGCAUACUUUAUCAUCUUCGAAACACACGCACGCACGCACAAGUUCCAACAUUUCACGAUGUUGAUGGUUAUUUGUGCGUGGCUCUGUUAGUUAAUCUCAUUUUCAUUUAGAAGCUUCUCAAAUGGCCAAUGGUGUUUGCAUUGUAAUUUUUUUUUGCAUUUUUUCCUACUAAUGGUGCAAAAAAUUCCAGCAAAACAUUAUUGACUAAGAAUUACUGUCAAAAAAUUCACAAUAGAAAAAUUAUAAAAAAUUGACGACACUAUCAACAACUUAAUAAUGUAACUCUUGAAAAAUAAUGAGAUCAUCUAGUGAAUAUAGUAUCCAAACUUUCAAAACCUUGGCUAUAUAUAUAUUUGAAAACUUAAAUUUUAUCUCAAACGGAAUUUCACACUCUUAAAAAGAUUUGUUCAAUUUUAAAUAUAUUGUACAAUGGAAGUUUGUGGCCCAUCAAUUCUCAGAGACCUGGAGGCGUCCAACGAGGACGAAAUUCUUUACCAGUUAUGAAUUCCUUAACAUUUUUCUCUUUGCAAGGACCACACAUAUGAUCUCCCACUUUUGUUUUUAUUAGCAAUAUAGAACUUGUGUCCAGCUGGAAAUCACGUCGAUCGAAAGAACUAUCACAGGAAUAUUAGGUAUGUAGUAGCAAUACUUAUCAGUAAGAGCGUGACAUGUUCCACACUAUGGUCCUAUAAAUAGGAACUCGCACCAAGCUCUCUCUUCACACCAGCUCACGCAAAACAUAGAGCCGAAAACCCAAAACAACCAAGUCAGUAGCUCUUGCAAGAAAAUUAACAUUAGACACAAUGGCAAAAACACAAAAAUUAGCUGCACUGCUGCUUGCCAUUGUAGUUGCCCUCGCUACAAUGGAAGGCGCCCAUGCCAUCUGCGGGAUGGCGAACGAGGACUUCAAGCUGUGCCAGCCGGCGGCGGCCGUGAAUGACCCGACCGACAACCCGUCGGCGGAGUGCUGCGCCGCCCUUGGUAAGGCCGACCUGGGAUGCAUCUGCCGCUACCGGGGCGUCGCCGGCAUAUGGAUGAGGAUCUACCACAUCGACCCCAGCCGCGCCAUGGCGUUGCCGGGCAAGUGCGGCCUCACCAUGCCAAACAACUGCUCGUGAUGCCAUGCUCGAGUCUAUGAUCGCAUUCCCGCAAAAAAAAGUCUAUGAUCGUACAUCGUGCAUCCAUAUGACUAGCUUAAUAAGCGGAAGUGCGUGAAAGGCCUUGUGUGCUAGUGUUAUAGUGCCUGUGCUGAAAUAUUUAAAGUUGUUUUGAUAUGAAAGUGUGUGCAGAAGUGCACGACGUUUGUUGUCUAUCAGUUCAUAAUGUUAAGUGUAAGACUUAUGCUGAAAUUAUUAAAAUUUCUUUCAUAUGAAAAUGUGUGCAGAAGUGCACGACGUUUGUUGUCUAUCAGUUCAUAAUAUUAAGUACUCUAAGGCUCCCUUUGGUAGGCUUCAGAAGGUGCUUCUCCACCGGCUCCAUCCGAAGCCCUGUCAAAUGGUAGGAGUUGGUAGGAGGGCAAAUGGCUUCAUUUGAGAAGCCCUUGAAAAAAAAACCCGGCUCCCCGCAGCUCCUCCCCGUCUGUGGGACCGAAGCCUCGAGUUUGCCCCUGAGCGACCAGGUGAGGUAGCAGCAGAGGACGACGAGCGCGGGCAAGGCAGGGGUGGAGGAAGGCAGCUGCGUGUGGAGGCAAGGUGGAGGAAGAUGGUAGCGCGGGCGUAGGCGCCCGGCGGGCUGGUAGAAAUGGCCGGGAGCAUGAGGCAGGGGAGGAGGAGUAGGCGGUGGGCGGCAGCACUUGCGGGGUUGGGACGGGAAGCUACAGCGGCGCUUGCAUGCCUGAGAUGGGCAGCGGCGGCAGCAUUCGCGUGGCCAGGACCGAAGGCAACGGCGAUGCAGCAUGCUGGCUGGGAUGGGAAGCCGUGGUGGUGGAGAUACUCGUGCGACGACAAAUCGGGACGGCGAGGCUGGAGUGGAGCGCUCAGGCCAUCCGGCGUCGGAGUACGCUCCUGGUAGGAGAAGGGUGGUGGGGAGGAACGGGAGUGACUCGUGGAGAGGAUGAGGGUGUUCGGAUAAGGAAGAAAAGGUAGGAGGGAAGGAAAUAAAAUAGAAAGGGGAAAAUGGAAGAGAAAAAAAAGGAGGGGAGAAAAGGAACGGGAGAAAGAAGAAAAAGAAAAAAUGAUCAAUAUGUAAUUAUACUCAUUAACCUUUUUGAUUUAUAUGAACAACUAAAUCAAUUUGGUAAGGUAAAUUGGACAUUUGGCCACUUUCAUUCACUUAUGGGGCACGAGAAGCUGUUCUACCAAAUACUUUUUAGAACGGUUUCAGCUCCAGAGGAGUUACAGCCGGAGCUGUUUCAUCCACAACUACAGCCCUACCAAACGAGUCCUAAGUUCUGCAGAAUACUAUCUGUUAUGGUUUAGAAGCAUAUGGAUCCAGAAGCAUGUUCUACAAACUAAAUCAGAUUCUAGCAUGUUAUUAAGUCGAAUUGCGUCCUGGGACGAGGGCAUGCAUACAUAGUAAAUAGUAUUUUAUGCAGGAAUUAAUGACUAAAAUGUUCGGCAUAUUUUAACCGCACAUUAGAAAUUAACAAUGAUGGGAGUCGUUUGCUGACUUCAACCAUUAUAUUUUCCUUAAUAAACUAUAAAAAGGAGAUCAAUGCUUUUUAAUGUUAAGGUGUACUUUGUGUAUCAUAUUCCAUCAUCUGAAAGAAACAACAGUUUGCGACUGCAACCAUUAUUGGAAUUCCCAUACAUGCGCUGAUAUUCCAUUAGUAUGGUGUUAUUAUGAUUUUUCCGUAAUUUUUAGCACAUGUUUGGCAUUCGUAAGAACCGAAUCAUGAAAUAAUUGAAUGAAAGUUUACUUUAAUUACAUCAUCCACACUAAAGAAAUACUAGGCGUCUCUAUGUUUCCUUUUAAUCUCUCUCCGGGGUUUAGUCUUUCUUUCUGGUUAAUUGCAUCGUGGCUUUGUUAUUUACUAAAAUGGGCAACUACUAAACCAGGUUAGCUAGAACCCUGUAAACUGAGCCUCUUGCUUGUUCCCAUUGUUUACUUUCAUCCGAUCUUUCCCAUUGUUUACUUUCAUCCGAUCUUCGAAAGUGCAGUAACGAUUGCUGUCAUUCUUUUGAAUGCCGUAGUAAAAGGACAGGAAACUAAACAAAGAAAUUCAUGCACCAAACUGCGCUUUACGGCCUGGCAUGCCAUCUCACGCGCAUAUCACGAGCUGUGCAGACAUUAUGAAGAGAGGUCGGCAUAUAUUAUCUCUGCUACUAUACUUUUGUUCACUUUUGUUGAUCAGGAUAUUUUUGCUAUAUGUGGCCGUCCCCAUCAUUUGGCACAACUGACUGAUGUCAGCAGAGCACGAUCUAUCAGCAGCAGCUCGCUGCUCGUAGACAUCAUAUCAAUCUCAGAAUGGAGUGUUUGCCAUGACAGUAGUGCUUCGAUAUCCGGACGAAUUCGUCAAGGAAAGCUGCCCAGCCUUUGCUGCAUGCAUGAAUGUCUUAGGCGGAAUCAUAUCCAUACAGAAAAAGCAAUGGAGUAAGUUCAUAUGAGUGAAUUCUGGAUCGACCAAGAUAUAGGGGGGAAAAACAAAACUUGAAUCCCUAAUUGCUCCGCUACGGGCCGCAGUAAGUAAAGAACUGUAGAAAACUUACACUAAUCCAUUUGCAUGCACAAAGCCUUGAAAGUUUUGAAUGCUUUUCAAUAUUCCUUCUGUUCUAAAAUAUAAGGUGCUGUUUGAGUUGAGGUCUCCAAGAUUAAGCAUUGACCUCUAAUUUAUCAAAUAAUCAAUUAUUUCUAUUGCAUCCAACGUUUUUAGAUGAACACACCGAUGUUGAGCAUGAUCCAAAUUCUAAUGAGACUGGCGUGUUGUAGUUACACAGUUCCAUUAUGUCUCUCCAUAUAAUGCCAUGCGGUUCUCCUGCAUGUUCAAUAGAAAAUGUCAACUCUGAUCAGGCUUUGUAUUAAAAAACAUAUUGGAAUUGUUUAUAUGAUACCUUUAUAAACUAUAGAAUUCUCCCAAAAUACAAAAGUGCUAUAUGUGUGCAAACUACUGUUUAUUAGAAAUGGCCACUAUACAUCAACAUUUCAUUGUGAAUCUAUUACUGAUCAUGAAGGGGCCAAGACGACAGACUUGGAUUUAUUACGAUAGGAUGCAAUUCCACUCCUACGCACCUUACUUGAAUGGAUUUUGAUAAAUGUACUUGACUAUUAUGUUGCAUCUAUUCAUGAGGUAGUCGAUCAGUUUCCCCUCAAGGAUUGUUGGAUUGUAGCUAGUGAGUUAACCACGUCAGGUUUUUAAAAAUAAAUAAUGUUGAGCUCCUUAGUGCUGAAAUCACGAUGAACGAUCAAGCUUUACUUUUUACCUUUUUUCAAAUGUGUAUUUUACUGCUGGAAAAGAAGCUUUUUUUUCCUGCAGGGCCGUCGCAAUGUACUCGAAAACGAGGAGUAAGGAUCACUUUGUAAUAUCUGAAACAGGCAGCGUGUAUAUUACUUAAAAGCCAUCAAAACUUCACCCUAUAAAUAAGACCCCCAAACCAAACACUCUCCUCACAACUUCAAACCAACCAAAUCUACAACCUAGACCUAACAAACCACCCAAAUUUACAACUUGAUCAGCACAUAACCAUGGCGAAGGCACAGGCAAUGGGCGCGCUCCUGACCGUCCUGGUGAUCCUCGCCACGUCGGCCGAGAUGGCGCACGGCAUCUGCAACCUGUCGAGCACCGGCAUCCGGGCGUGCCAGCCGGCGGCGGCCAUCCGCCACCCCACCGACCAGCCCUCGGCGGAGUGCUGCGCCGCCCUGGCGGGGGCAGACCUGCCGUGCCUGUGCCGGUACAAGAACGCCGCCGGCGUGUGGGUGAGGUUCUACAGGAUCGACAUCAACCGCGCCAUG
rnacentral:lncRNA from 1 species